GCAGCAGCCGCGGUAAUACGGAGGGUGCGAGCGUUAAUCGCAAUUACUGGGCGUAAAGCGCAUGCAGGCGGCGUGUUAAGCCAGAUGUGAAAGCCCGGGGCUCAACCUCGGAAUCGCAUUUGGAACUGGCAUGCUAGAGUCUUGUAGAGGGGGGUAGAAUUUCAGGUGUAGCGGUGAAAUGCGUAGAGAUCUGAAGGAAUACCGGUGGCGAAGGCGGCCCCCUGGACAAAGACUGACGCUCAGAUGCGAAAGCGUGGGGAGCAAACAGGAUUAGAUACCCUGGUAGUCCACGCCGUAAACGAUGUCUACUUGGAGGUUGGUGUCUUGAACACUGGCUUUCGGAGCUAACGCGUUAAGUAGACCGCCUGGGGAGUACGGUCGCAAGAUUAAAACUCAAAUGAAUUGACGGGGGCCCGCACAAGCGGUGGAGCAUGUGGUUUAAUUCGAUGCAACGCGAAGAACCUUACCUACUCUUGACAUCCAGAGAACUUUCCAGAGAUGGAUUGGUGCCUUCGGGAACUCUGAGACAGGUGCUGCAUGGCUGUCGUCAGCUCGUGUUGUGAAAUGUUGGGUUAAGUCCCGCAACGAGCGCAACCCUUAUCCUUGUUUGCCAGCACUUCGGGUGGGAACUCCAGGGAGACUGCCGGUGAUAAACCGGAGGAAGGUGGGGACGACGUCAAGUCAUCAUGGCCCUUACGAGUAGGGCUACACACGUGCUACAAUGGCGUAUACAGAGGGCGGCAAGCUAGCGAUAGUGAGCGAAUCCCACAAAGUACGUCGUAGUCCGGAUUGGAGUCUGCAACUCGACUCCAUGAAGUCGGAAUCGCUAGUAAUCGUGGAUCAGAAUGCCACGGUGAAUACGUUCCCGGGCCUUGUACACACCGCCCGUCACACCAUGGGAGUGGGCUGCACCAGAAGUAGAUAGCUUAACCUUCGGGAGGGCGUUUACCACGGUGUGGUUCAUGAAUGGGGUGAAGUCGUAACAAGGUAACCGUA
rnacentral:rRNA from 1 species